rnacentral:misc_RNA from 1 species
GAAAGAAAAACAAUAUUUAAAUACCGGAAAGAAAAAUAACAUUUAGCUUCCAUAGCUUGCUUUUCCCCAAGCUAUGCACAUACAGCUGCCAUGUGAGACUCCGAUUGGGGGAUGGGUCAAGGGAUCCAGACCCCCUCCCCCUGCAAAUAUCCUAUUUCUUCUAUUAACAUCAUAAAAUUACCAAAAACAUGUCUCAGACCCCCCCCCCCCCCCCGGCAAACUCAAAUAACGCCCCUUUUUUUUUCAAAAAUAUGCUUGUGCUUACAUGUUAUUUGUUACUAUUAUAUAAUAUUUAUGUUAUUUGUCAAAUCUGUCAUUUGACUUGCUUUAAAUAAACUGUCUAUCCAAACAAAUUUCAUGUUUAUACUU